rnacentral:rRNA from 1 species
AGGGCACCACCAGGAGUGGAGCCUGCGGCUUAAUUUGACUCAACACGGGAAAUCUCACCAGGCCCGGACACCGGAAGGAUUGACAGAUUGAGAGCUCUUUCUUGAUUCGGUGGGUGGUGGUGCAUGGGCCGUUCUUAAGUUGGUGGAAGGGAUUUGUCUGGGUUAAUUCCCAUUAACGAACGAAAACUCCUGGGCCUACUACUAAAACUUUGGGAUCCCCUUUCGGGGGGUCAUCGCAACCUUCUUAAAGGGGAGGGGGGGGGCGUUUUGCCCCCCCGGGGAUUGAACAAUUACCCGGGCCCCCGAUCCCCCUUGGAUUUUCUUGGGCUUCCCCCCCCCCUCCCCUUGAAGGAAUCGGCCGGGGGGGUCCCCAUUCCAAAAGGAUUGGGAAAACCCCUUCAAACCCCCCUUCUUGAUGGGGGGAUGGGGGGAGUUGGAAUUUUUUCCCCCCGGAAAGAAGGAAAUUCCCCGUAAGGGCCGGGGCCAUAAGGCUGGCGUCAUUUCCUUCCCUUCCCCUUU